GGCUAGAGUUUGAUCAUGGCUCAGGAUGAACGCUGGCGGCGUGCCUAACACAUGCAAGUUGAGCGAUUUACUUCGGUAAAGAGCGGCGGACGGGUGAGUAACGCGUGGGUAACCUGCCCUGUACACACGGAUAACAUACCGAAAGGUAUGCUAAUACGAGAUGAUAUGCUUUUAUCGCAUGGUAGAAGUAUCAAAGCUUUUGCGGUACAGGAUGGACCCGCGUCUGAUUAGCUAGUUGGUAAGGUAACGGCUUACCAAGGCGACGAUCAGUAGCCGACCUGAGAGGGUGAUCGGCCACAUUGGAACUGAGACACGGUCCAAACUCCUACGGGAGGCAGCAGUGGGGAAUAUUGCACAAUGGGCGAAAGCCUGAUGCAGCAACGCCGCGUGAGCGAUGAAGGCCUUCGGGUCGUAAAGCUCUGUCCUCAAGGAAGAUAAUGACGGUACUUGAGGAGGAAGCCCCGGCUAACUACGUGCCAGCAGCCGCGGUAAUACGUAGGGGGCUAGCGUUAUCCGGAAUUACUGGGCGUAAAGGGUGCGUAGGUGGUUUCUUAAGUCAGAGGUGAAAGGCUACGGCUCAACCGUAGUAAGCCUUUGAAACUGGGAAACUUGAGUGCAGGAGAGGAGAGUG
rnacentral:rRNA from 1 species